rnacentral:rRNA from 1 species
ACGACAAUAGAACUGUGGUACCACCUGAUCCCAUCUCGAACUCAGAAGUGAAACGCAGUAUCGCCGAUGGUAGUGUGGGGCUUCCCCAUGUGAGAGUAGGUCAUUGUUG